UCAAGAUAAAUUUUACUAUUUUAGUUCGAUUUCAAAAAAAUUCAAAUAAAGUGUUCCUAUUAUUAAGCAUAAAAUAUGUAUAUAUUUAAUUACACACUGAAUAAAAAAAAUUAGUCUGAAGCUUAAAAAUGAAGUGAUGUAUGAAAUUGUUAUAAGGUUGUUGGAUAUUCGUAAACUUUGUAGAUAUCAAAGGGAGAAAAAUAUUUUAUAAUAUGCGCCAUUCAUUUUGAAUAAAUAAAUACAACGCGUACAUAUAGUUAGUAAGAUUUCGCGUGAUAGGGAGUUUUUAUUUAUAACUCUUUUUGAACAAAUUGGUUAACAUAUUGGCUAACAUAUCCUCAAGUUUUAUUAAAUUUUUUUUAUUUAGAACUGUUUUUUUACCUUGUUAAUCGAAUUAUGAACAUAUUCAACUAUUGUUGGUUCCAAUGGAUUUUGUCAUACAGUGACAAUUUUCAAAUUGAGCACAUUUAUUUAUAGAAUACUGUAGAAGUGUCGAAAGCUAAAUUGGAACUCCUACUACAUAGAGUGAUAAAUUUACGGAAAUGGUGGAAAAGUUUCAUUAUUGCAAUAACAACGUCGCUUUCACUUUGAGGAUGCUAAAUCGGCCAGCUUCAGAUACAAAUGUUUAAACAUAAAUUUGCAUGUUAUUUAUCAUCAAACAAUUAAAUUUUAUUGUUCCUGUUCAUUAAUUGAGCACAAUAUGGAUAGGAACAUGAGAAUCAAGGUGAAACUCCAGUUUUGAUUGACACUUUUAUUUAAUCAUGAUUAACAUAAGAAUUAUCCAUUAAAAACACUACAAACGUAAUGAAAUUUACACUGGUUUUGACAAAAAUUUCAAUAUUUCUCAAAUAAGAACAAGUAGGUGUUCACUAAGCAGCGAAAAUCUUGUGCAAUUUCUUCUCAUGGUGCGAAAAAUACUUAUAUGUAAUAUGUAAGAAAAAUGUUAAUAAAAAAUUUUGAAGUAAAUAAAAAGGCAUUUUGAUGAAAAAAAAAAUUAAAUUUAUA